rnacentral:rRNA from 1 species
GACGAACGCUGGCGGCGUGCCUAAUACAUGCAAGUCGAACGAGGUCCAUGGGAGCUUGCUCCCGGACGACCGAGUGGCGAACGGGUGAGUAACACGUGAGGAACCUGCCCUGGAGUGGGGAAUAACUCGGGGAAACUCGAGCUAAUACCGCAUACCCUCGGAUGAUCGCAUGGUCGACCGAGGAAAGUUUUUCGCUCUAGGAGGGCCUCGCGGCCUAUCAGCUUGUUGGUGGGGUAACGGCCUACCAAGGCAGCGACGGGUAGCUGGUUUGAGAGAACGAUCAGCCACACUGGGACUGAGACACGGCCCAGACUCCUACGGGAGGCAGCAGUAGGGAAUCUUGCGCAAUGGGCGAAAGCCUGACGCAGCAACGCCGCGUGCGGGAUGACGGCCAUCGUGGUUGUAAACCGCUUUCAGCAGGGACGAAGAUGACGGUACCUGCAGAAGAAGCCCCGGCUAACUACGUGCCAGCAGCCGCCGUAAAAC